UACAUUGAGAGGUCCCGACUCC
rnacentral:piRNA from 1 species